CAGAAUUGUAGAAGACUGUAGGCUAUUGCCCCUCAGGAAAGCCUUAUAGCUGCUUCACAACACACAAUAUGGUUGUCUGCCUGAAAGAUACCUCCUGUUUAUGAUGGACUGCAAUUCCCUAUAUCAUGGCACAUGGGAUCAGCCUGUAACACAGCCUCUCUUCUUUUCUUGACAAGACUCUGAAUGGUUUGUAAUGUCUUCUAUUGUGCGAUAAGGAAUAAAAGAGGAAAGCUUUCAAAAUUGUGCCUCAUUGAGGUUUCAGAAAUGAUGCUGCAUUCUCCCCACUUAUUCUCCACCAUGUAGGAUGGAUAAGCAAUUGCCUGGAAGGGGUGCUAUUAACUACAUGCAUCCCAACAAUCGGUAGGGAUUCAUGAUGCCAGCUAAAUGGCUGUCCAGAGAGCCAUACUGAGUGUUUGCUCAUUUGUAUGCCAUUCUGGUCUCCCACACUUUUGACAGCAUGGCCAGUACAGUUGGUUGAGCUGACAUGAGUCUUGUGGCCUGUUUCUGUACACUAACUUCACCAGUUGAGGUGAGAAGAGACCAUGGAGUGACAGUUAAUGCUGUUCUCAGUAGCAGUAACUUCAGUAACAUUUCUUGAGUACGUUGAGCAUAGAAUGACUAUAUGGUCAUGUUGUUAUCAUGCUCACCUAAAUGAUUAAUAUGUUAGUAAUACAAUAAAAUGAUAAUGGAAAAAAGUAGAUGAACUUUGCUAAUUUUAACUGAAAAUAAAAAUAACGUUACUAUUGCAAAUACUGUUUCACUCAUUCACCUCUGUUGACCUAAAGUUGCUUGCUGCUUUUUUGUUGCUAUUUUAGUAAUAAUUCAUAUCUAUUGAGCUGCAGUUUAUUAUAAGGUUACCCAAGACAAACUGCUCCAUUUCCUCUAUUAUCCAAACAGAAUAGUUUAUGGUCAGUCUGGUCAGGAUCAAAUUCAAAUGGUCUUGAAGUCGAAAGGGAUGAUGAUGACUUGAGCAAACCAUUUUUGUAAUCUUUAAAUUCCAUUUCUAAAAAAAUAAAUUGGCUACAGUUUAUUAUGGGUAUAUGGCAAUAUUUUGCAAGGGCAAAACCGAGAGUGUAUUAUGUGUUUUGACUCCGUCUCAGGACGGAUGGCUUGUACUUGUAACAGGGUUUGUGUUACAGUCUGUUUUCUUAAAGGAUUUUCUUCCUAUUGCUGUGUAUGUAUGUGCAUAUCUAUGCCCCCACUCAGAGUGUGAAUACGCAUAAGGCCUGAUCCAAAGCACACUGAAGUCAAUUGGAGUCUUGCUGGUGGUUUCAGUGGGAUUUGGCUCAUGUCCAUAGAAAGGAAAGAACUGUAUGAGUCCUAUUUCUGUAUACUUUGUGUGUUCUUAUGUGGAGUGCAGGGAAGCCAAUACAUUAAAGAAUUUUGCAAUCUGUUUGUGGACAAUUCACCAGCAAGAACAAAAGCAGUGUUCAUCAGAUAAAUUAUUAUUUGUACAUUAUUUGUUGAGCUCUAGCAAAGUGUGUAUUCCCACUGAGUGAAACAUAUACCAUGUCUUGUACUGUCUUGGCAAGAAUGUAGGUGCCCUUUCAGUCCAUUUUACAGAGCUGAGGCCCAUGGUGGUCUCAUAUUCAAUAAUCUAUGAACACACACUGGUAAAGGCCACUUUAAUUGCUGGCCAACUUUCCUUUCUCGAUUAACCCCUUCUCUACACACACACUCACUCACUCUCACUCAUCAUUCUGUAGCAGAUGGAAAGAAAAAGUCCUGGUCCUACUGGUGCACCACUAAGUACUCCAUCUCUGUUCCCUUGAAAACUCUUCAUACUGAGUGGGAAGGCAAUGGGACUUCCUUUAGCUUUUCCUAAAGACUAAGAAUAGGGGGAGGAUUCAACUGCCUUCAACACCCAUCACUUCAUAAAGAAAGAAGGGGUAAACAUCUACCUGCCCAAAAUAGUCACCUACAAACAUUUGCGGGGGUACAGCCUCUUGGCUAGAGAGAAUUCCUGUGGAGAUGUGACCAGGAGCUACGAAAGGGUUCCAUGUUUGGCCAAAUGCUCUGUGAGACAUACCUUUCACCUUUGCCUGGAGUUUGCUUUCACAAAGAAAUUUGGAACUAAGUGAGUUUUGAUACACAACUUUCAUUUUAUUAUUAGUUGUUAAUUGUAUUACCAUAGAGCUUAGGAGCACCAAUCAUGGCCAGACCUCAUUGUGCUAGGUGCUGUACAAAUAAAGAACAAAAAGACAGUUCUUUCCCCUAAGAGCUUACAAACUAAGUCAAGACAACAGAUGGAUACAGACUGAUGGAGGAGUACAAGGAAAUAAUGGGACAAUAUUGGUCAGCAUAUUAGGCAGUGGUCUCAGCUCAAGAACCUAGCAAUCCUCCUCUGAUCUUGAGACAUAAUGGUUGCUUGUUGCUGAGAUGACUCACCAGCUCUCUGUUGCGUAGAUUUCUUCAUAUUUCGAUAUAAAAUAUUAUUGUAAAAAAGAAUAUUAAUUGUUUUCAAAUGUGACUUUCUCUGGGAUGUAAUGAAAACACCUACUUACUGGGAUGAUUAAAAGCUAUUGUAAAGAGUUU